GUGUGUGUGUGUGUGUGUGCGUGUGUGUGUGUGCGCGCGCGUGUGUGUGUGUGUGUGUCUCAAAGUAGAGGAGAGAUAGACUUUAUCACUACUUGUAUUGAUGAGAGGUAUUGACAUGUUGAAGGCACCGUGCCACCAGAGGUCUGUUUAAACAACUAGCACACAGCUCAGACACACAUUCAAACCCCCACAUGACAUGCAACCAGAGGUCUGUUUAAACAACUAGCACACAGCUCAGACACACAUUCAAACCCCCACAUGACAUGCAACCAGAGGUCUGUUUAAACAACUAGCACACAGCUCAGACACACAUUCAAACCCCCACAUGACAUGCAACCAGAGGUCUGUUUAAACAACUAGCACACAGCUCAGACACACAUUCAAACCCCCACAUGACAUGCCACCAGAGGUCUGUUUAAACAACUAGCACACAGCUCAGACACACAUUCAAACCCCCACAUGACAUGCAACCAGAGGUCUGUUUAAACAACUAGCACACAGCUCAGACACACAUUCAAACCCCCACAUGACAUGCAACCAGAGGUCUGUUUAAACAACUAGCACACAGCUCAGAUACACAUUAAAACCCCCACAUGACAUGCAACCAGAGGUCUGUUUAAACAACUAGCACACAGCUCAGACACACAUUCAAACCCCCACAUGACAUGCAACCAGAGGUCUGUUUAAACAACUAGCACACAGCUCAGACACACAUUCAAACCCCCACAUGACAUGCAACCAGAGGUCUCUUCACAGUCCCCAAGUCCAGAACAGACUAUGGGAAACACACAGUACUACAUAGAGCCAGGGGUACAUGGAACUCUAUUCCACAGUACUACAUAGAG